UAUUUUUUCUCUAUGUAGUUAAAGUAAAUAUUCUGCAAUUUUUAGCCUUUUACCUAUAAAAUAGCAAAUAUAUAAUAGACUUCUUUCGAAAUACGAUUUUGAUGACAAUUUUCUUGUCGAAGAUGAGCUACACCCCUCAAAUACAUCCAAGUAUCCCGUGGUGCACUCUCCCCCUUCGUCAUAAAUUGGUUUUGAAAGAAGUCUAAUGUAAUUCCUAAAUCUUACUAUAUUCGAGUGAUUAAGCAAAGAGCUAUCAUUCAUUACUGUCAGCUAUCUAGCACAGCGUGGCAUUAGACCUCUUUCGAGGCUGAUCAAUUUUGUCGCAGGAAGAUGAGAGCUACACUCAUUAAUACAUCCUACGGUACUUCGAUUGCACUUCUCCUCUUACAAUAAAUUGGUUUCGGAAUAGGUCUAUUCACACCUUAUUAACUUAUAGUUAAAGCAUCUUCUAUCAAAAAUAGUAUAAAUUCUUUUCCAUUCCAAU